GGAUUGCAUUUUCAGAACUGCUGUCAGCCACAGCUGAAAUCAGUGGAAACUGUGGGCUGAAAAGCUGAAGCCCUGAACUACAACAGUUUAUGUGAAUAUAGAGUUCAUGGCUGGCACAGGAAUUUAGAUCAAUCUACAUUAAAAGCUCUCAGGGAAAAUACAGAAAUUGGAGCAGCAGAAUAUAACAUGAAAAGCUGUAGCAGCAGAAAAAGGCCAGCUGGUUCAGCAUGCCAGCCCUUUUAAAGCAGAGGCAGAAAAAGAAAGAGGCUACAGAUCACUUAGACUGUGAUCAGUCAACCAGGGCAGCUGAUCAGAGGGAUGCAGCCUUUAGAACAAUGUUAGCUCUUGCAGACCCAGGAAGCAGAAUAAUAUUUUUCAUAUUGAAGACUUCACUCCCAUCGUAACAGAUCAAACCACCAUUCAGACCAGCAGAUCCCAUCCUCUCUCAGCCUGUUGCUUCUCCUUCCUCGUCGCAGCGGGAGGCUCCUGGCAUCUGGGGACGGAGAGCCACGGCCGCGGGAUGGCGCAGGGCUCGCCGGCAGGUGAGCUGCUGUUGCCUGGGGCACCGCUGCCAGAGAAGAAAGAAGGGGGCCCACAGCUUGCUGCCAUGUACGUACAGGGCCUGUUCCCUCCUGCCUCCCUCGUUGCUCUGCCUCAUUCCCAGGGACCGGGUGGGUACAAAGCUCUUGCAUGUGGCGUUGGGAGCUUUCUACACCUGCCUUCCUCAGGGCUGGGGGAGCAGAGGAGGAAGAGGUGAGGUGGCAAAUGUAUUUUCAGGUGAGGAUGUCAGCUAUGAACUACCCCUCUUGGCUGCGCUCGGCAUAGGCUGGGAAGUGGGGACAUAGGUGCUGUUGGGUACCUGCCUCCCAUCUCCAUCCAACAAAGUGGAGUUCGGUGAGGGUCCAGGCAUGGCCACGGCCACAGGUAGUGAUAAUCACCAGCUGCCCCACAGGGUUGGAAGGGAGAGGGCUUGUUUGUUCCCCUCUUACCAAAAUAGUUUUAUCACCUCAGACACUUGGUAAGUAUUGCUGCAAGUAUGGCACACUAUUACAGGAA